UUUUGUGGCUAUUUGCGCAUUGGGGGAAACCUGACGCAUCAACGCCGCGUGGAGGCUGAACUCCUCUGGGACGUCUCCUCUUUUCGACCGGGUACGCUACUGACGGUAUCGGUGGAAGAUGCUCCGGAUAAUUCCGUGUUAGCAGCCGCGGUAAUACGGGGGGGGCAAGCGCUCCUCGGAAAUUAUUGGUCGUUAAGGGCGCGUUGGCGUUCCGUGCAAGUUUUCCUUGUGAAAAUCCCCCGGGCCUCAAUUUCGGGGCUCCUGCUUGGAGAAAACUUGCCGUGCUUGGAGUUGUGGGUAUAGGUUGAGUUGGGAACCUCCCCGGUUGUAGCCGGUUGAAACUCACUAGAUAUCGGGGAGGGAUACAACCUUUCUGGCUGAAAGGCAGGCUUCACUUGGACCCACAAUUCUGAACGCUUGAGGGGCCCCGAAAUGCUAAGGGGGAGCCAUAACUAGAGAAUUAAGAAACUCCCUGGUUAACUCCCCUAGCCUUCUAAAACGAAUGAAACUGCUCUCUGUCUUGUGGGCCAGAUUCCCCUCAAAUCCCCUCUUUGUUGCUCGGAACUCUAAACUGCCUUAAUAAACUAACACUCGCCUCUGGGGUCCCUCACGUGCUCCGCCAAGAGCCCC
rnacentral:rRNA from 1 species